rnacentral:siRNA from 1 species
UUGAAGUAGCUAAAACUUGAUUGA